GUUACCUACGGGGGGCAGCAGUGGGGAAUAUUGGGCAAUGGGCGCAAGCCUGACCCAGCAACGCCGCGUGAAGGAAGAAGGCUUUCGGGUUGUAAACUUCUUUUCUCAGGGACGAAGAAAGUGACGGUACCUGAGGAAUAAGCCACGGCUAACUACGUGCCAGCAGCCGCGGUAAUACGUAGGUGGCAAGCGUUAUCCGGAUUUAUUGGGUGUAAAGGGCGUGUAGGCGGGGUCGCAAGUCCGAUGCGAAA
rnacentral:rRNA from 1 species